rnacentral:rRNA from 1 species
GACGAACGCUGGCGGCGUGCUUAACACAUGCAAGUCGUACGGUAAGGCCCUUUCUGGGGUUCGCGAGUGGCGCACGGGGGAGUAACACGUGAGUAACCUUCCCACAACUUUGGGAUAACGCUAGGAAACUGGUGCUAAUACUGGAUAUGUGCUCCUGCUGCAUGGUGGGGGUUGGAAAGAUCCGGCGGUUGUGGAUGGACUCGCGGCCUAUUAGCUUGUUGGUGGGGUAGUGGCCUACCAAGGCGGCGACGGGUAGCCGGCCUGAGAGGGUGACCGGCCACAUUGGGGCUGAGAGACGGCCCAGACUCCUACGGGAGGCAGCAGUGGGGAAUAUUGCACCAUGGGCGCAAGCCUGAUGCAGCAAGGCCUCGGGCGGGAUGACGGCCUUAGGGUUGGAAACCGCGUUCAGCAGGGACGAAGCUUUUUGUGACGGUACCUGCAGAAGAAGCACCGGCUAACUACGUG